ACGUUGUUUGUUUGCGUUAGUCACCAUGACAUGUUUUGAACUUCAUUUCGAUAUAUCAUAUUUGAAAAACUAUUUUUAGCUAAUAGACAUGAGUUCAUUUGCCUUGCUUUUGUGUACGACGGCUCUGAGAUAUUAUAUUUACGAUAACAGGAAUGAACUUUAUUUCUUACUUAGUCCUUUCCAAGUGUUGAUCUUUAUUAUGGGGAUCAAUUGCGGGAGCAUACUUAGCUAAGAUACUAUCCCAGUCGACCCCUUUAUGAUGACUCACCCCUUUAACAUUUCAUGGACUCCAGUUGACUACACCUAUACCGACCCCGUUGGAAACCCAUGCUUUACAGAAUCAAAAUACAUCCCAUUCACAUGUUGGAUAUUAACACGCAAACUUAUCUGAAAACCAUUUCUACAGUGUCUUAACGCUCUCGAAUAGAGAAGUUAAAUUUUCAAGUACAGGUGUAUUGCUCAAUGCAACGGUGGGAAUGUGGAGGCACAUUGAAUCGUUUCAUGAAUUCCCAAUUCUUUGCUAAACGAGAAAAUGGAUUGUCGGUGUUUCUGCAAAGAAUUUGUGUGUUUAGUAGGCAUAAAACAAUUACCAUGCGAAUGGAUUUGUAAUAAAUUUUGGUUUGAAAAAUUCAGUCACGAUUUUAAACAGGUUCAGCAAGCUCUGCUCUAAUCUGAGUAUGAGUUAAGAAGACAAAAGAGAAAAACACCGCCAAAUAUAAAAUUAACAGAAAAAUCUGCUUCAGAUUUCUUUGGUUCUGAUGAAGAGAGACCUCUACCUUUUUACCCUCGAAGCCGAUUGAGUACUGACUGAAAUCUACUCCGGGCAAAUGCGUGGUUUUCGACAUGUUAUACAUGUGGACAGUACGUGAUC